rnacentral:rRNA from 1 species
AGGGUUUGAUUCUGGCUCAGGACGAACGCUGGCGGCGUGCUUAACACAUGCAAGUCGAGCGGUAAGGCCUCUUCGGGGGUACACGAGCGGCGAACGGGUGAGUAACACGUGGGUGACCUGCCCUCAGCUCUGGGAUAAGCCUGGGAAACUGGGUCUAAUACCGGAUAUGACCACAUGUUGCAUGGUGUGUGGUGGAAAGUUUUUCGGCUGGGGAUGGGCCCGCGGCCUAUCAGCUUGUUGGUGGGGUGAUGGCCUACCAAGGCGACGACGGGUAGCCGGCCUGAGAGGGCGACCGGCCACACUGGGACUGAGACACGGCCCAGACUCCUACGGGAGGCAGCAGUGGGGAAUAUUGCGCAAUGGGCGGAAGCCUGACGCAGCGACGCCGCGUGGGGGAUGACGGCCUUCGGGUUGUAAACCUCUUUCGACCGGGACGAAGCGGAAGUGACGGUACCGGUAGAAGAAGCACCGGCCAACUACGUGCCAGCAGCCGCGGUAACACGUAGGGUGCGAGCGUUGUCCGGAAUUAUUGGGCGUAAAGAGCUCGUAGGCGGUGUGUCGCGUCGGCCGUGAAAACUUUCAGCUUAACUGGGAGCUUGCGGUCGAUACGGGCAUCACUGGAGUUCGGCAGGGGAGACUGGAAUUCCUGGUGUAGCGGUGAAAUGCGCAGAUAUCAGGAGGAACACCGGUGGCGAAGGCGGGUCUCUGGGCGAUUCCUGACGCUGAGGAGCGAAAGCGUGGGGAGCGAACAGGAUUAGAUACCCUGGUAGUCCACGACCGUAAACGUUGGGCGCUAGGUGUGGGGAGCCAUUCCACGGUUCCUGUGCCGCAGCUAACGCAUUAAGCGCCCCGCCUGGGGAAGUACGGCGCAAGGACUAAAACUCAAAGGAAUUGACGGGGGCCCCGCACAAGCGGCGGAGCAUGUGGUCUUAAUUCGACGCAACGCGAAGAACCUUACCUGGGCUUGACAUGUCAGGUGAAAGCCUCGUGAAAGCGGCUCUCCUUCGGGAGCCGGUACACAGGUGGUGCAUGGCUGUCGUCAGCUCGUGUCCGUGAGGUGUUGGGCCUUAAGUGCGCAACGAGCGCAACCCCCGUCGCUUAGUUGCCAGCGAUUCAGUGCCGGGAACUCAUGGAGACUGCCGGUGCCAAACCGGAGGAAGGUGGGGAUGACGUCAAGUCAUCAUGCCCCUUACUGUCCAGGGCUACACACGUGCUACAUUGGCCGGUACAGCGCGGCUGCCGAACCCGCUGAGGGUGGAGCGCAAUCGCUAAAAGCCGGUCUAAGGUUCGGAUUGUAGGCUGCAACCCGACUACAUGAAGCCGUGGAGAUCGCUAGUAAUCGCGGAUCAGCCAUGCCGCGGUGAAUACGUUCCCGGGCCUUGUACACACCGCCCGUCACGCCAGGGAAGCUGGGGUAACCCGAAGCCGGUGGUCUAACCCUAUGGGGGCAGCCGUCGAAGGUCGGGAAUCAGUGACUGGGGCUGAAGUCGUAACAAGGUAACC